rnacentral:rRNA from 1 species
CAGCCGCCGCGGGAAUACGAAGGGUGCAAGCGUUACUCGGAAUUACUGGGCGCGAAGCGUGCGUAGGUGGUGGUUUAAGUCCGUUGUGAAAGCCCUGGGCUCAACCUGGGAAUUGCAGUGGAUACUGGGUCACUAGAGUGUGGUAGAGGAUAGUGGAAUUUCCGGUGUAGCAGUGAAAUGCGUAGAGAUCGGAAGGAACAUCUGUGGCGAAGGCGACUAUCUGGGCCAACACUGACACUGAGGCACGAAAGCGUGGGGAGCAAACAGGAUUAGAUACCCGGGUAGUCCCUGUCUCUUAUAC